ACACAUGCAAGUCGAGGGGCAGCAUUUUUGAAGCUUGCUUCAAAAGAUGGCGACCGGCGCACGGGUGAGUAACGCGUAUGGAACCAACCCGCAACAGGGGGAUAACCCGGAGAAAUCCGGACUAAUACCGCAUGGUACUCUUUGCACAGAAGUGUGAAGAUUUAAAGAUGCGAAUCGGUUGCGGACGGUCAUGCGUUCCAUUAGCUAGUUGGCGGGGUAACGGCCCACCAAGGCGACGAUGGAUAGGGGUUCUGAGAGGAAGGUCCCCCACACUGGUACUGAGACACGGACCAGACUCCUACGGGAGGCAGCAGUGAGGAAUAUUGGUCAAUGGGCGAGAGCCUGAACCAGCCAAGUCGCGUGAGGGAAGACGGCCCUAUGGGUUGUAAACCUCUUUUAGAUGGGAGUAAGGUGUUCUACGCGUAGGAUAUUGUAAGUACCAUCAGAAUAAGCAUCGGCUAAUUCCGUGCCAGCAGCCGCGGUAAUACGGAAGAUGCGAGCGUUAUCCGGAUUUAUUGGGUUUAAAGGGUGCGUAGGCGGGUGAUUAAGUCAGCGGUGAAAUGCGUCAGCUUAACUGGCGAACUGCCAUUGAAACUGGUUACCUUGAGUGUAGCGGAAGUAUGCGGAAUGCGUGGUGUAGCGGUGAAAUGCAUAGAUAUCACGCAGAACUCCGAUUGCGAAGGCAGCAUACCAUACUAUAACUGACGCUGAAGCACGAAAGCGUGGGUAUCGAACAGGAUUAGAUACCCUGGUAGUCCACGCAGUAAACGAUGAAUACUCACCGUUUGCGAUAUAAUGUAAGCGGUAAAGCGAAAGCGUUAAGUAUUCCACCUGGGG
rnacentral:rRNA from 1 species